AGGGUGCCGUUACUCGGAAUUACUGGGCGUAAAGCGCGCGUAGGUGGUUUGGUAAGUCAGAUGUGAAAGCCCCGGGCUCAACCUGGGAACUGCUUCUGAUACUGCUGGACUAGAGUACGGCAGAGGGCAGUGGAAUUCCGGUGUAGCGGUGAAAUGCGUAGAUAUCGGAAGGAACACCAGUGGCGAAGGCGACUUCCUGGACUGAUACUGACACUGAGGUGCGAAAGCGUGGGUAGCAAACAGGAUUACAUACCCUGGUAGUCCACGCCGUAAACGAUGUCCACUAGCCGUUGGGGGACUCGCCCUCUUAGUGCCGCAUCUAACGCUCUAAGUGCCCCGCCUGGGGAGUACGGCCGCAAGGAUAAAACUCAAAGGAAUUGACGGG
rnacentral:rRNA from 1 species